ACCAACUCCUGUAACUUAAAAUCGAAUUGCAACUUGUGUUGGUGUCAACGAUUUGAAAACAUUUCAAAAUGAGACUUUGGAUUACUGUUGCACUGCUUUGCAUUUUUUUAACUGAAUAUGCAAUCGAAACAGCUAGUAUUGUUGGAGGUGCCUCAAUCGACGACAGGUCAAGAGUCAGACGAUCUGAAAAUGCUUGGCAUAGUGAUCCUGAGCC